rnacentral:misc_RNA from 1 species
UACGUAGGUGGCAAGCGUUGUACGGAAUUAUUGGGCGUAAAGCGAGCGCAGGCGGUCUCUUAAGUCUGAUGUGAAAGCACACCGCUCAACCGGGGAGGGCCAUUGGAAACUGGGAGGCUUGAGUAUAGGAGAGGAGAGUGGAAUUCCACGUGUAGCGGUGAAAUGCGUAGAGAUGUGGAGGAACACCAGUGGCGAAGGCGACUCUUGGGCCUAUAACUGACGCUGAGGCGCGAAAGCGUGGGGAGCAAACAGG